UACGGAGGGUGCGAGCGUUGUCCGGAAUCACUGGGCGUAAAGGGCGCGUAGGCGGCCUGGCAAGUCGGUGGUGAAAGCCCGUGGCUCAACUACGGGUCGGCCACCGAUACUGCUAUGGCUCGAGUUUGGUAGAGGCAGAUGGAAUUCCGGGUGUAGCGGUGGAAUGCGUAGAGAUCCGGAAGAACACCGGUGGCGAAGGCGGUCUGCUGGGCCAAGACUGACGCUGAGGCGCGACAGCGUGGGGAGCAAACAGA
rnacentral:rRNA from 1 species